rnacentral:ncRNA from 1 species
ACAAACAUCUUGAAGAACUGAGUAACUAGAGCUUCUAUCUAUAAAGAGAGCUGACGUGGUGGUGAAAGUCAGCAGAUAGAAACUAGUGAAUAUGGGUUUGGAAUGAUGACUGAUGGUGAUAUUUAGCUAUCAGCGGGUUUGCAUCCGUUAACAGUGCAGGCUAUUUUUUGAUAGUCGCUGAGGCUUAACUGCGUAAGCAGUGAGUGAAUUAAAGGUGGUAACGCGAGCAUUCGUCCUUUUA